rnacentral:piRNA from 1 species
UAAGUGAUUCUAGAUUGUGUCAAAUUGGC